rnacentral:rRNA from 1 species
GAUGAACGCUGGCGGCGUGCCUAAUACAUGCAAGUCGAGCGAACAGACGAGGAGCUUGCUCCUCUGACGUUAGCGGCGGACGGGUGAGUAACACGUGGAUAACCUACCUAUAAGACUGGGAUAACUUCGGGAAACCGGAUCUAAUACCGGAUAAUAUAUUGAACCGCAUGGUUCAAUAGUGAAAGACGGUUUUGCUGUCCCUUAUAGAUGGAUCCGCGCCGCAUUAGCUAGUUGGUAAGGUAACGGCUUACCAAGGCAACGAUGCGUAGCCGACCUGAGAGGGUGAUCGGCCACACUGGAACUGAGACACGGUCCAGACUCCUACGGGAGGCAGCAGUAGGGAAUCUUCCGCAAUGGGCGAAAGCCUGACGGAGCAACGCCGCGUGAGUGAUGAAGGUCUUCGGAUCGUAAAACUCUGUUAUUAGGGAAGAACAAAUGUGUAAGUAACUAUGCACGUCUUGACGGUACCUAAUCAGAAAGCCACGGCUAACUACGUG